rnacentral:lncRNA from 12 species
AUGAGAGGGUGGGGGAGCUGGGUGUGGUCAGGAGGGAGGCUGGGAAGGAGCCCCUGCACUCAAAUAAAACGCACGUCCCCCCAAGACAGGCUCAUUUCCAGUAUUGACGUGCCUGCCGUCUGUCAAAGACCUGGUGGAUGCUUCCCGCCACCCGGAUUCAUCUGCCUCCAGGACAGAGGGGCCCGUUGGGCAAUCCAUCACGGAGCACACCUGGUCUGCCCACAGGAGACAGCAGGUUGGCACGUGGCUGGAGUAGGGAACACACAGUGAGCGUCUCUUCGUGGCAGGAUUGUGCAGAUCCCCCUCGGAGCUCAUCUGAGACUUGUGAGUCCAAUCACAUUUGAUAUUGGCUUGGAGGACUGUGUCCUCCUCUGAGAGGGGUGCCCAGGACUCCUAACUGCCAGGUCAGCAACCUUUUCAGUCCUUAAGUGCUUCCAAACACUGCUAUGGGACCAGCUUUGGGAGAAUUUCCUACAGAUAUUGAUGCAAAUGCUGAAGGGUGGGCCCCAAAGCACUUGUGGUGAUUCUAUUGUCUGCCACCAUGGAUAGCCUUGUCUACCUCUGUCCACUCCUCACAGAAUGGAUGCUUUAUGGGGUAAGGUUCUGGCUCUUCUUGUUCUCCAAUAUAUCCUCAGUGUCUAGAAUGGAGUGUUCUGGAAUCACAUAUAACAGGUGCUCAAGGUAUUGAGUGAAUGGAAGGAUGGAUGGUUGUAUCAGUGGAUGCUGGGUGGAUUUAGCCUUAACUUGGACAUAUAUUAGGGGAGCCAUUACUGAUCCCUGGCUCUGCCCCAGAAACUGGUAUAAAAUCUUGUUCUCAACAUCUGCUUAAUCAGGGAGAUGGAUUUGAUUAUCCACUAAGCAUCUCCCCUUCCUAUGCCUAGGGUUUGGCAUAGGCCUGGAAUCAUAGGUAAAUGUUAGUUUUUGUUGAGAUGAAUAGCUGGCAUGGAACUUAAACCAUCAAGUGAAAGAUUCUUUUGUGCCAAGUCCUGAUGCUCCUCCCACUAUGCCUUCUAUGUUUCGAGAGAACCCUCUGUGUAUGGAAGAAAUGCAAUCACACCAUAGAUGCCCAGCACACAUAAAAGUUCUCACUAUAGUAAUCAUCUCAAUUAAGGACAGAGUGCUAACCUCUAAAUAACCAGAGGAGCAUGCAUCUCUGUUGAAUUUAUAGGCUAGGAACAAAGCUGGACGUUUGGGGUCUGCGGCAAGCUGUAGACAUUUGUAUCAGUCAGGAUAAGGUUAGGUUAUACUGUAUAACAAAUAGCCCUAAUAUCUCAAUGGUUUAAUAGAAUCAGUGUCUGUUGCUUACACUGUACAGUUUAGUGGGUAAGAUGAUGAGUCACAUGAAUAAAAGAGAAAAUUAUGAUUGUGAUCA